rnacentral:pre_miRNA from 1 species
UCUACAACUCGAGAUAUAGGCUGAACACUGAACAAUGUCUGGGCUGCAGAACAGAUUCCGACUUCUCCGUUGUUGCUACCAUUUGAACUCAAAAAUGGCCCUUUUAUAUCUUGGACUCCGGAUGAAAGUUUUAGGCCUAUGUCUUAGCUUUCCAUA